CGGGUUUCAGCUGUACUGGCCGUCGUGGUAUGGAAGACUAGUGAUUUUGUUGUUCGGCUUUGCGACCGCUAACAAAAAAUCACCAGUUUCCUACCAAGGCGAACGCAAGUCAUCGAUAUGCUC
rnacentral:pre_miRNA from 11 species